rnacentral:rRNA from 1 species
CUAACACAUGCAAGUCGAACGGGAAAGGCGGUUUCGAUCGGCUGGAGAGUGGCGCACGGGUGAGUAACACGUAGCUCAUCUGCCUUCGAGAGUGGGAUAACGCAGCGAAAGGUGUGCUAAUACCGCAUAAGCUCCCGGUCUGUAGAGGACUGAGAGAAAAGCUCCGGCGCUCGAAGAUGAGGCUGCGGCCCAUCAGCUAGUUGGUAGGGUAAAGGCCUACCAAGGCGACGACGGGUAGGGGGCCUGAGAGGGUGACCCCCCACACUGGGACUGAGACACGGCCCAGACUCCUACGGGAGGCAGCAGUGAGGAAUAUUGCGCAAUGGGCGAAAGCCUGACGCAGCGACGCCGCGUGGGUGAUGAAGGUUUUCGGAUCGUAAAGCCCUUUUCUCGGUGACGAGGAAGGACGGUAACCGAGGAAUAAGUGUCGGCUAACUACGUGCCAGCAGCCGCGGUAAAACGUAGGACGCAAGCGUUAUCCGGAAUUACUGGGCGUAAAGCGCGCGCAGGCGGGUCGUCAAGUCACUCGUGAAAGCUCCCGGCUAAACUGGGAGAGGUCGGGUGAGACUGGCGGUCUGGAGGGUGGUAGAGGCGUGUGGAAUUCCGCGUGUAGUGGUGAAAUGCGUAGAGAUGCGGAGGAACACCAGUGGCGAAGGCGGCACGCUGGGCCACACCUGACGCUGAGGCGCGAAAGCAUGGGUAGCGAACGGGAUUAGAAACCCCGGUAGUCCAUGCCCGUUAACGAUGUGUACUAGA